CCUACGGGAGGCAGCAGUGGGGAAUCUUGCGCAAUGGGCGAAAGCCUGACGCAGCAACGCCGCGUGCGGGAAGAAGGCUUUCGGGCUGUAAACCGCUUUCAGCAGGAACGAAAAUGACGGUACCUGCAGAAGAAGGAGCGGCCAACUAUGUGCCAGCAGCCGCGGUGAUACAUAGGCUUCAAGCGUUGUCCGGAUUUAUUGGGCGUAAAGAGUUCGUAGGCGGUCGAGUAAGUCGGGUGUGAAAAUUCUGGGCUCAACCCAGAGACGCCACCCGAUACUGCUUAACUUGAGUUCGAUAGGGGAGUGGGGAAUUCCUAGUGUAGCGGUGAAAUGCGCAGAUAUUAGGAGGAACACCGGUGGCGAAGGCGCCACUCUGGAUCGAUACUGACGCUGAGGAACGAAAGCAUGGGUAGCAAACAGGAUUAGAUACCCUGGUAGUCCAUGCCGUAAACGGUGGGCACUAGGUGUGGGAUUCUAUUAACGAAUUCCGCGCCGUCGCUAACGCAUUAAGUGCCCCGCCUGGGGAGGUACGGUCGCAGACUAAACUACAAGAAGUAGACGCGNGAGACGNGCGACGGACGACGACGAGGGAGUAGG
rnacentral:rRNA from 1 species